rnacentral:rRNA from 1 species
UACGUAGGGGGCAAGCGUUGUCCGGAAUCAUUGGGCGUAAAGAGCGUGUAGGCGGCCCGGUAAGUCCGCUGUGAAAGUCGGGGGCUCAACCCUCGAAUGCCGGUGGAUACUGUCGGGCUAGAGUGCGGAAGAGGCGAGUGGAAUUCCUGGUGUAGCGGUGAAAUGCGCAGAUAUCAGGAGGAACACCGAUUGCGAAGGCAGCUCGCUGGGACGUCACUGACGCUGAGACGCGAAAGCAUGGGGAGCGAACAGG